GCUCAGUUGGUUGAGUGACCAACUCUUGGUUCCAGACCAGGUCAUGAUCUCAUGGUUUGUGGGUUCAAACCCCACAUCGGGCU
rnacentral:tRNA from 1 species